GAUGAACGCUAGCGGCAGGCCUAACACAUGCAAGUCGAGGGGUAAGAAGAGCUUGCUUUUCUGAGACCGGCGCACGGGUGCGUAACGCGUAUACAAUCUACCUUGUACAGGGGGAUAGCCCAGAGAAAUUUGGAUUAAUACCUCAUAGUGUUAUUGAGUGGCAUCACUUGAUAACUAAAGUUCCAACGGUACAAGAUGAGUAUGCGUCCCAUUAGUUAGAUGGUAAGGUAACGGCUUACCAUGACAAUGAUGGGUAGGGGUCCUGAGAGGGAGAUCCCCCACACUGGUACUGAGACACGGACCAGACUCCUACGGGAGGCAGCAGUGAGGAAUAUUGGACAAUGGGGGCAACCCUGGUCCAGCCAUGCCGCGUGCAGGAUGACGGUCCUAUGGAUUGUAAACUGCUUUUAUACAGGAAGAACCCCUUCUUUGCGAAGAAGACUGACGGUACUGUAAGAAUAAGGAUCGGCUAACUCCGUGCCAGCAGCCGCCGUAAUAC
rnacentral:rRNA from 1 species